UUUAGCAAUCGAUUAAUAAUCGAUUCAUCGAUUAAUUGUUUCAGCUCUGAGUGGGACACAUAUUAAGACAUCAUAAACUUCAUUAGGCGCAGAUUUGGAUGUGUUUUGGUCCAUGUCAGCUGGUUCUUGCCACAGGGGGGCGCUCACAGCUCUGUGUCAGAACCUCACACAGCCACACCUGCAAACACUCUAUGUUAUGUGUGUGUGUGUGUGUGUGUGAUGAUGAUGAAACCCGAGGACUGACCUCUUCACUCAACUGAAAUAAGUUCAGUGUUGACUUUAAUUUUUUUUUAAUUUUUUAAUUGUUUUCUUUUCUUUGAUGGACUGAUAAUUCAUAUUUGUUACCGUGCAGUAUUACAGUGUUGAAUUACUGCGCAGACGUUGUUGUUUUAAAAAACACAGACAAUCCUUAACUCAACUGAAGUGUUUGAAAACAUACAGUAGUUGUCACAGAGGAUCUAUUUGGUAUUUAUUUAUCCUUUUUUCUUGAUGUGGAAACAUGCAUUUUCAUGUUAUUUGAGUCUUUAUUUUGAUUCAUAUUAACAGAGAUACAUUUAUAUUAUUCAAUUGUUUGCUUUAAUUUGUUUCGUGUAACCGUGGCCUUGUGUUUGUUUGUUUUCAAAUUCACUUCAUUUAUAUUUUUUUUUUGCUUGAAAAAUUAAUUGCAAUUUACAAGUUAUAAUAAUAUAAUGAAAACAAUGUUUUUCCAUUGCUGAUUCAGUAACGUACAUUAUUCAACCUUUGAGAUUUAUUUAUAUGAUUUUAUUCAGAUUAUUAGGAUUUUAUUCUGUAGCCAGGUGACACAUAUAGGAGGAGUGCCCUAAAGUGGGAUUACAAAGAGUUGUAAGUGUCUUUGUCAGGACAUAAUGGUAUAACCUGAGAAAUACACUGUAAAAAAAAAAUCUUACUUUGUCUGGCUUUGCUGCUUUUAUUAAUAUUUUUGUUGGAGGGACGUAUCUCAGAUGCUUUGAAUGUAUUCAGAUUUGCUGGUGUGUAAAAAAGUGUGAAGUCACGAUGAACAUGUUUUUAUGUUGAACUCUUAAUGACGUUUACAGCAAGAAAAGAUAAAGUUUGGUCUUAAACUCUGUUUCUGGAUUUGGCUUAUUUGUAAUGUUGUUUUAUGAUGAUGACAAUGAUGAUGGUGAUGGUGAUGAUGAUGAUGACGACGUGAUUGUGAUGUUAUAGCGUGAAACAUGCAGACACUGGCUGGUUUUGAGUUGAUACUUUGAAUAUGAGAGUGAAAUUUGACUGUUGACAGCUUUGAAUUGAUUGAACAGUUAAAACGGUCAGUGUGUGAAACUGGCUUUUUUCAUUAGGAUCAUUAGUUAUAGUAUAUUUUUUGUGUUUAUAUUUAACAUGAACCUUAUUUUUUUUGCCUGUAAAUGUAUUUCGUUUUUCGUAAAUGCUAAAAAGAAAACAAUGAGUGAGCUGCAAUCUGACCACGUUUUUAGACGGACUUAGACCAACCCAGUCUCCAGAGACUCAUGUCGACACACUGUGUCGCACACAUUUCUUCAAACAGAUUUGUGUGAGGUCACAAAGCCACGGACAUUUACAGACAUGCAUGUCACUGUGAGAGUGAGUUCACUCUUUCUGUUCAGGUGUAGGCACAAAACACAUGUGUUAGGGUCAGGGAUUCUAAUAGGAUCCAGCACAUCCAAAUAGUGCAGUGUUCACAGUGUGUUGCGCUAACAAGAUGCAUUCACAGACCCUGGUAAACUUCAUGUGGAGGAUAAAGUGGUAGACGAUGGAUGAACAGUCACAGCAUCUGAUCUGAAUAUUUAUUAGCAGCCCUAUUAUGGACAAGGAAACGAUGAUGCUUUUCCCUCACGGUGUCAACAUCCUCUCAAUAUCAUGUCAUUAAGUUUGGUCUUGAACAGCGGACACAACACUGCUGCCAGAAUACUGUGGACAUAUCGACGAGACUUUGCUAAAAUGUCUCAUUCAAUGUAACAUACAACAAUAUGGUUUGCAGAAGUAAACAUUUUAGCGUAGCAAGAGCUAAAUGUACUGUGAUGUCAGACAUACAUGAAAGAGUGACUGAGCACAAGCAACAAGCUACUGGGUGUGUGUGUGUGUGUGUGUGUGUGUGUGUGGUCCAGCGUUACAUUAGCCUCACGCUGAAUGCUGUCGAGUUUGUCAUGGUGGUGACGUUACGAGUACAAAUCAGUACUCGCUGUGUGAGCAUACAGAGUUUUAGCAAACAUCAUUUACAAUUACAUAAACAUGUUAGCUAAUGUUUUCUGCUUCUCCGCUCACACCAGACCAGACUCAGUGUUUUCUCCUCACUCCACCUCGGUUUGGAGUAGUUUUAUUUGCACCUCGGCUUGGGUAGUUUUAUUUGCACCUCGGUUUGGAGUAGUUUUAUUUGCACCUCGGUUUGGAGUAGUUUUAUUUGCACCUCGGCUUGGAGUAGUUUUAUUUGCACCUCGGUUUGGAGUAGUUUUAUUUGCACCUCGGUGUCCUGCACCCAGGUGUUGUCUUUUGUUAGCACACCAGCUAACUUAGCGCUCCUCACACCAGAGAAGAUAGAGACCCGGGCCCUGAUUCUUCGUGUGUGAGUAUAGUAGUGCCCCUAGAUAAUUGCUGUCCCUCCACAUCUAGGUGUUGUGUUGAUUUUUAUUCUUUUGUGUUUUCUGUGAUUACGGAACAUGAACUUUUUCAUACAUUUUCAGGUGUGUUACUUGUCACUGUAGUGAGUGAUGAGCAGAGUGAACAGCGCUGCUGUUGUAAUUGGUGGCGGAUUGGUUGGAUUACUAGUAUAGCUGAGCUGAGGUGAGUCAACAGGAUGUUAUUGAAUCUGAUUUUUCACCUUCUGAGGUGUGAAAACCUGCUUUAAACCAUAACAGGAGUAUUAAUACUCCUAUAAUUACAUUCACACACAGAAUAGACUCCUGCACUUCCUCUUAACUGUGUAAACAGUCUCUGGCCCCUGACAGGAGACUUUAAUUCAUCGCAGCUCAAAGAGAGAAGGUUCUACUAAGCAGUUACCGCAACAUGUGUCUUUAGUCGAAAGGUCACUGUUUCAGCGUCCAGCAAAUACACACACACACAAAUAAACGAUAGAGUUAAUCUGUAUGAAUCAGUUCCAUCACUUUUCUUUCAUUACAGCCUGAGUCCUCAGGACUCAGGCUGUAAUGACUCCUCUCGGAAAUGAUGACGACAAUUAUUUUUCCUCUGUGUACGAUAUCUACAUCAGUGUGUAUUGCAUUGUUUUUCAUUUUUUUAAACUGUUCUUUUACUGUGCUUUAAAUUUCUGACUUGAUUUCUCAACACAACUCCCCUGUAACUGUUGCUGGUGAUGCAGUUCACAUGCUGCCAUCAUUCAUUACAAGAUGGUGUUUCUUUUUUUUCCAGGUUUGUUUUUGACUGUUGUUUCUAUGGAGAGGAAUUAAAAUGUGGGUUUACAUUUCAA